AGAGCUGUGCCCGAACGUCCAGGGACCACUUUGAUAGAGUGCUUUAUGGGGGCUAAAAUCCCCCCAGCUCUU
rnacentral:tRNA from 1 species